CUACCCCUUUUUAUUAGCAAAAAAAAAAAUCUAGGGCUUUCUAAAAAUUUUACCAAUAUUUUUUAUUGAACUCUGCAUAGAAAGACAAAAAGAUCUUUUCACGACGCAACUGCAAUGACUCAAGAUCUUUCCAUAGCCUAACCUAGUUGCAAUAUAAGACCUUGUAAACAAUAGUCCAACUCAAAAUAGGAUUAAAAAAACACCAGAAAUCUUGCCCUGAAAGCCACUAUGAAAAUUGCAAGGGAAUAUGAAUGACAUAACUCGAAAAGACUUGAAGGGAAAACCUCUAAGACUGGUUCUAUGCAAGUAUGAGCAGAAGGUU
rnacentral:lncRNA from 1 species